CCUACGGGAGGCAGCAGGGGGGAAUAUUGGACAAUGGGCGCAAGCCUGAUCCAGCCAUGCCGCGUGAGUGAUGAAGGCCUUAGGGUCGUAAAGCUCUUUCACCUGUGAAGAUAAUGACGGUAGCAGGAAAAGAAACCCCGGCUAACUCCGUGCCAGCAGCCGCGGUAAUACGGAGGGGGUUAGCGUUGUUCGGAAUUACUGGGCGUAAAGCGCACGUAGGCGGAUUAGUAAGUUAGAGGUGAAAUCCCAGGGCUCAACCCUGGAACUGCCUUCAAAACUGCUAGUCUUGAGUUCGAGAGAGGUGAGUGGAAUUCCGAGUGUAGAGGUGAAAUUCGUAGAUAUUCGGAGGAACACCAGUGGCGAAGGCGGCUCACUGGCUCGAUACUGACGCUGAGGUACGAAAGUGUGGGG
rnacentral:rRNA from 1 species